CUCACAAAAAAAAAAACAAAAAAAACAAAGAGGCCCUCGCCGGCGAUCCAUGUCCUGUCAUCGAAGCCUUCCUCGGCGAUCAUAAAGUCAGUGUUGGAGUUGGAAUGGCAGAUCGCAUUAUUGGAAUGUGAACUGCUCUACGAGAAAACCUUGAGAAAUUGGGAUCACCGGCCCUUAUCUUGGGAGCACAUAACAAAUCAGAUUGGAUCAGUAUGCUAUAGCAAAAUUUUGCCAAAGUUUUGAGAUGGUGCCGAAAACUCUUGCUGAAAAUGUGGGGCUUAAUUCGAUGGAGAUAAUGUCUUACCUAUAUGCUGAACAUGCAGCUGGGAAAACCAAAGUUGGCAUUGACUUGGAGGGAAGUGUUUGCAAAGAUGUAUCAACCUUAUAAUUUUGGGACCUUCAUGUUACUAAGUUCUCUGCUCUUAAGUAUGCUGCAGAUGCUGCCUGCACUGUACUAUGAGUAGAUCAAGGGUUACUCUACUGCCAUGGACAGGUGUUGGCAACCUGUGGCCCCGGGUGGUGUUGAUUAACCUCUGUGUUUGCUCUGGAGGACAGCUGCUUCUUUGAGAAAGAGUGAGAGAGGGAGAGGAUGAAAGGGAAUCGGUUCUAGAAGCAGGUCUGGGUCAGCUGAGACUGUGAGAGCGAAGAAAUUUUGGAGCUUUUGAAAUAUGACGGAGGAGGAAUGCAGUUGGAGGUCAGCUUUUCAACUCAUGCCUAUAGGGCUGAUGUAGAGGAUCAACCUCCUGCGAUUCCAUUCUUCUUUCGUCAGCUGUUGUCAAGUGAAGUAUGGAGUAAAUGAUAUGGUUACCUGAUUUCACAUACCGGUCCAUUUGAUUUGUUGUUUUGCGGGGACCUUUGGCCUUUUAUAAGGGUUUCAUCCCAAAUUUUGGACGCCUAGGAUCUUGGAAUGUGAUCAUGUUUCUAACCUGUGAGCAGGGAUUGACUUCUUGGAAUUUAAACCUUAAGAGGUUGCGGCAGCAGCGGCCUGGGAGGAGGAAGCAAAGCAUUAUAUCACACUGAGAAUGCAAUCUCUGUGCUCAUCCAACAUGUAGACUUAGAAAAGGUUGAAGGUAUGAGAUUGAUAAUCCAUAACUUGGGAAGGUUCUUCUCACACAGGGACGUUAAGUUUGCUCAGUCUAAAAGAGCCUGCUGUUUUGUUGCAUUGUCGCAAAGAUGAACUGCAUCAGGUGGAGUCUGUUCUGUAAGCAGCAGCACAGGAAUAUGCGGAGAAAAGAGAAUUUUGUACCAAGUUGCGGGCCUUCUAGCUGCAAUUAUAAUAGAAUUAGGACUUUCUGGAGGUGUAGUCUUGGCUUCUCAAGAUGGAAAGAUUGUGUGUGAGAACACUCUAGAUGCACCGUUGGAUAUUGUAUUCCUUAAAAAACUAACUCAGGUAUUCCUCUUGCAAAUAUGAUUGCAAUCUUAACAUUUCAUCUUUUGCCCAUAUUGGGCUCUCAUUUUUUUCUCUUUUUUGUAAUUAUGUGCUUAUACUACUGCUUCUUUCCAAUCAAGCAUAAUACAAGAGAAGCUAUAGUUUUUAUCCCCUGAAACGGAAGCUCAAAGAGCUCACCCUGUACAUUAAUAGGCUUCAAAGAUCGUUCUAUUUCUUUGCAUCCAGUAAUCCAGAUCACCAAAAUUACAGCCAAUCACACUGCAACUCCGAAGCACUUUGGCCUCCUUCCUUUGCCAAAACCAAAGAGGUUUUGUCAAAACAGGGAAGGAUUCCCUUCUUGCCCCAGCCUCCCUAUACAACACCCAUUUCUGAUGCUUUCAUCGUUAAAACUAAGACCAUAGUUCCUAAGCUCACUUAAAAAGUACACUUUCUAUUAUGGACCCUUAUUAAUAUGGUUAUUCUUGGAAAGGCUUGAUUCAUAGGCUGGUUCCCAACUCAGAAAUUUCCCUAAAAUGGUAUGCAGACUACAUUCAUGAUAUUCCAUCUGUCUGAAAUUAUAAGUAGGAGCGAGUAUUGUUUAAUUGUUACUGUGACGGCCAAAGGACUUUGAUUGGACAUCUGAUGAUGCAUUGAACUUAUUUUGUUUCUUAAUUGUUAUUUUUUUCUUUGUAGUGUAUAAUUGUUACUAACCAACAUUUUGUCUAUUCCUCAAUGCUUCAAAAUGCGAGUGAACACAAGGAUAGCAAAGGCACUACAAAAUUGCAUCAAGUGCAUGCCAAGCAAGAUUGAAAACUGAAUGACCAUCUUUAGAACAGUGUGGGUAGAAGAUCAAUGAAGCCAGGCAGAUUUUUUUUGCUUUCUACAUGGCAAUGAUUUGUGGUACACAAUAACUAUUUUUUAUAAGACAAUGGCUUAUAUGAAGUGAUUUGUAAUGAAAUGAAAUCAACCCAUUUUUGAUAAUAUAAAUGGUUUAUACAAAGGCCGCGUACAAAGUGCAACUCCUAGAACUAGAUUCAUACAAUGUUAACUAAUUUCUAAACAAUUUUGUUUAA